rnacentral:rRNA from 1 species
AUUGAACGCUGGCGGCGGCUUAACACAUGCAAGUCGAACGGUAACAGGAGAAAGCUUACUUUCUUGCUGACGAGUGGCGGACGGGUGAGUAAUGCUUGGGAAUCUGGCUUAUGGAGGGGGAUAACGACGGGAAACUGUCGCUAAUACCGCGUAGAGUCGAGAGACGAAAGUGCGGGACCGCAAGGCCGCAUGCCAUAGGAUGAGCCCAAGUGGGAUUAGGUAGUUGGUGGGGUAAUGGCCUACCAAGCCGACGAUCUCUAGCUGGUCUGAGAGGAUGACCAGCCACACCGGGACUGAGACACGGCCCGGACUCCUACGGGAGGCAGCAGUGGGGAAUAUUGCGCAAUGGGGGCAACCCUGACGCAGCCAUGCCGCGUGAAUGAAGAAGGCCUUCGGGUUGUAAAGUUCUUUCGGUGACGAGGAAGGCGUGAUGUUUAAUAGGCAUCACGAUUGACGUUAAUCACAGAAGAAGCACCGGCUAACUCCGUGCCAGCAGCCGCGGUAAUACGGAGGAUGCGAGCGUUAAUCGGAAUAACUGGGCGUAAAGGGCACGCAGGCGGCUAUUUAAGUGAGGUGUGAAAUCCCCGGGCUUAACCUGGGAAUUGCAUUUCAGACUGGGUAGCUAGAGUACUUUAGGGAGGGGUAGAAUUCCACGUGUAGCGGUGAAAUGCGUAGAGAUGUGGAGGAAUACCGAAGGCGAAGGCAGCCCCUUGGGAAUGUACUGACGCUCAUGUGCGAAAGCGUGGGGAGCAAACAGG